rnacentral:tRNA from 1 species
GGGCCCUUAGCUCAUCAGGUAGAGCAUCGGACUUUUAAUCCGGCGGGCAGGGUUCGAGUCCCUGAGGGCCCA